CCUACGAGUGGCAGCAGUGGGGGAUAUUGCACAAUGGGGGAAACCCUGAUGCAGCGACGCCGCGUGGGCGAAGAAGUAUUUCGGUAUGUAAAGCCCUAUCAGCAGGGAAGAAGAAAUGACGGUACCUGAGUAAGAAGCACCGGCUAAAUACGUGCCAGCAGCCGCGGUAAUACGUAUGGUGCAAGCGUUUUCCGGAUUUACUGGGGGUAAAGGGAGCGCAGGCGGCACGGCAAGCCUGAUGUGAAAGCCCGCGGCCCAACCGCGGGACUGCAUUGGGAACUACCGGGCUGGAGUGCCGGAGAGGGAGGCGGAAUGCGUAGUGUAGCGGUGAAAUGCGUAGAUAUUAGGAGGAACACCAGUGGCGAAGGCGGCCUACUGGACGGUGACUGACGCUGAGGCUCGAAAGCGUGGGGAGCAAACAGGAUUAGAUACCCGAGUAGUC
rnacentral:rRNA from 1 species